rnacentral:lncRNA from 1 species
UCUCCGAUGUCCCUCUUUCUUCCUCAUCUUUCCUCCUUAUCGAUUUUUCUUCUCCAUGGCAACUCUUUCCACCUCCAUUCAUUCCUCUACCACCUCUUCUUUCUCCUCCUCUCUCGUCUCCGAUUGAUCCCCUCCUCCUCCAGUAUCCAUCUUUCUUCCACUUUUCUUUUUUUCUUUCUUCUCAUCUAUUUUUUCUGCUUCAUGAAAGCUCCCUCCACUUCCAUUUAUUCCUCCACUGCCUCCCUUUCUCAUUCUUCCUCUCUGAUUGAUCUCCUCCUUCUUUCUUUCUCCUUCUCCAAACCAUCUAUAAACCAUCCCCCUCCACGUGGCCCCCUCCUC